AUUGAACGCUGGCGGCAGGCCUAACACAUGCAAGUCGAGCGGAUGACGGGAGCUUGCUCCUUGAUUCAGCGGCGGACGGGUGAGUAAUACCUAGGAAUCUGCCUGAUAGUGGGGGACAACGUUUCGAAAGGAACGCUAAUACCGCAUACGUCCUACGGGAGAAAGCAGGGGACCUUCGGGCCUUGCGCUAUCAGAUGAGCCUAGGUCGGAUUAGCUUGUUGGUGAGGUAAUGGCUCACCAAGGCGACGAUCCGUAACUGGUCUGGGAGGAUGAUCAGUCACACUGGAACUGAGACACGGUCCAGACUCCUACGGGAGGCAGCAGUGGGGAAUAUUGGACAAUGGGCGAAAGCCUGAUCCAGCCAUGCCGCGUGUGUGAAGAAGGUCUUCGGAUUGUAAAGCACUUUAAGUUGGGAGGAAGGGCAGCCAGCGAAUACCUGGUUGUUUUGACGUUACCGACAGAAUAAGCACCGGCUAACUCUGUGCCAGCCGCCGCCGUAACAC
rnacentral:rRNA from 1 species